rnacentral:rRNA from 1 species
CCUACGGGAGGCAGCAGUGAGGAAUAUUGGUCAAUGGACGAGAGUCUGAACCAGCCAAGUCGCGUGAAGGAUGAAUGCCCUAUGGGUUGUAAACUUCUUUUAUAUGGGAAUAAAAUGUUCCACGUGUGGGAUUUUGUAUGUACCAUAUGAAUAAGCAUCGGCUAACUCCGUGCCAGCAGCCGCGGUAAUACGGAGGAUCCGAGCGUUAUCCGGAUUUAUUGGGUUUAAAGGGUGCGUAGGUGGUGUGUUAAGUCAGUUGUGAAAGUUUGCGGCUCAACCGUAAAAUUGCAGUUGAAACUGGCAGUCUUGAGUACAGUAGAGGUAGGCGGAAUUCGUGGUGUAGCGGUGAAAUGCUUAGAUAUCACGAAGAACUCCGAUUGCGAAGGCAGCUCACUGGACUGAAACUGACACUGAGGCACGAAAGUGUGGGGAUCAAACAGGAUUAGAUACCCUUGUAGUC